CCUACGGGUGGCAGCAGUGAGGAAUAUUGGUCAAUGGGCGGAAGUCUGAACCAGCCAUGCCGCGUGCAUGAAGACGGCUCUAUGAGUUGUAAACUGCUUUUGUACAAGGGUAAACCUGAAUACGUGUAUUCAGCUGAAAGUACUGUACGAAUAAGGAUCGGCUAACUCCGUGCCAGCAGCCGCGGUAAUACGGAGGAUCCAAGCGUUAUCCGGAUUUAGUGGGUUUAAAGGGUGCGUAGGCGGAUUGAUAAGUUAGAGGUGAAAUGUACGAGCUUAACUCUGGAACUGCCUCUAAUACUGUUGAACUAGAGAGUAGAUGCGGUAGGCGGAAUGUAUGGUGUAGCGGUGGAAUGCUUAGAGAUCAUACAGAACACCGGUUGCGAAGGCAGCUUACCAGUCUAUAUCUGACGUUGAGGCACGAAAGCGUGGGGAGCAAACAGGAUUAGAUACCCGUGUAGUC
rnacentral:rRNA from 1 species